rnacentral:rRNA from 1 species
UACGUAGGGCGCAAGCGUUGUCCGGAAUUAUUGGGCGUAAAGAGCUCGUAGGCGGUUUGUCGCGUCUGCUGUGAAAACCUAAGGCUCAACCUUGGGCUUGCAGUGGGUACGGGCAGACUAGAGUGCGGUAGGGGUGACUGGAAUUCCUGGUGUAGCGGUGGAAUGCGCAGAUAUCAGGAGGAACACCGGUGGCGAAGGCGGGUCUCUGGGCCGAUACUGACGCUGGAG